ACUUUACAUAUAUAAUAUUAUAAUUUUAUAAAUUUAUGAUUUUACUUAUUCAACAUGUAUUUGAUAAUUAAUUAGAUGACAUUUUAUUUUUACAAUUACUUAUAAUUAUUUCCUAAUCAAAUUUUAAUGUAAUCUAUUUUUAUAUCAAAUUAUAAUCUCAACCAUAGAUUGUAUUUUGAUCGGACGGCUCUCAUUCGUUCUUAUCCUUUUUCACACCCCAAAACCCUAAAACUAUCUUAUUCUCUCUCUAUCUCUUUCACCUAAUUCUCUCUCUACCUCUUCACCUAACUCUCUCUUUCUAUUCAUCAUCUUCUCAAAAGGAGAAGAAGACAACAACAAGAAUUGUCUUCUCCACCACAUAGGCGCCACCGACGGCUCUCCCUCUCUCUCUCCACUCUUCAUCUACUCCAAAGAGAAGAGAAGACAACAAGCCGCCACCUCCCUCUUCUCUUUUCCCUCUUACUCCAUCUCGCUGUCCAGCAGCCCUCUCACCACCGCGCCGCCGCCGGAGAACACACCGCAGCAGCCGACGACACGCCGCGACGUUAAGCUGCAGUGACGCGCAGCAGUCAACUGCAACAACACUAUGCGCAGCCAAGCUUCUCCAUCGCUGCAACAGCAGCAGCCAUCGAUGGUAAGCUGCGAACCAGCAGCUCCUCCGUCAACGCGCAGCAACUUCCCAGCGACCAGCAGCUGCAACGGCGAGCCACCGACGGCGAACAGCAGCGGCUUCUCCAGCAACACCUCCAGCGAGCAGCACGAACGCAGCAGCUGCAACUGCUGCUCCUUCCUCGCUCCUCCGACGGCGCACAGCGGCAGUGACGACGGCGGCCUCCAACCAGUGACGACGAUCUCUUCGAGCGUCGUUGCUAAACGAACAAAACGAUAAAUCGAAAACGGAUCUUCAUAGAUCCGUCUUGGGCUUGAACUUCAAAGUUCAAAACACGAAGAUUUGCGAACGAAAUGUUAACAUGUAGUAUUUCGUUUACAUAUUAUGUAUUACUCACUUAUCUUUUAUUUUAGUUUGUAAUAAUCUUGUAAACCCCACUCUGCAUAAUAAUAUAUAUUUGGGGACUGUCUAAAGGGGGGGGGGGAAUCUACGUGCUACUUGCAAUUUUUUUUUUUUACUUUGACACAAAUUUUAUGUGGUUGCGUGCGCUAAACAAAUAUACCAAAAGAAAUUAGUUAUUUUAAUUA